CGAGGAAUAUUGGGCAAUGCCCGCAAGGGUGACCCAGCAACGCCGCGUGGAGGAUGAAUGUCGUAAGAUUGUAAACUCCUGUUAGAGGGGAAGAAUAGUACCGGUUGGACCGGUAUAUGACUGUACCCUCAGAGAAAGCCACGGCUAACUACGUGCCAGCAACCGCGGUAAUACGUAGGGGGCAAGCGUUGUCCGGAUUUACUGGGUGUAAAGGGCGCGCAGGCGGGAUAAAAAGUCAGUGGUGAAAUCCUACAGCUUAACUGUAGAACUGCCUUUGAUACUUUUAUUCUUGAGUUCGGGAGGGAGAGGCGGAAUUCCUGGUGUAGUGGUGAAAUACGUAGAUAUCUGGAAGAACACCAGUUGCGAAGGCGGUCUCUUGGUCCGACACUGACGCUGAGGCGCGAAAGCGUGGGGAGCAAAC
rnacentral:rRNA from 1 species